GACGAACGCUGGUUGCGUGCCUAAUACAUGCAAGUAGAACGCUGAAGAGAGGAGCUUGCUCUUCUUGGAUGAGUUGCGAACGGGUGAGUAACGCGUAGGUAACCUGCCUGGUAGCGGGGGAUAACUAUUGGAAACGAUAGCUAAUACCGCAUGAUAUUAAUUAUCGCAUGAUAAUUAAUUGAAAGAUGCAAUUGCAUCACUACCAGAUGGACCUGCGUUGUAUUAGCUAGUUGGUGAGGUAACGGCUCACCAAGGCGACGAUACAUAGCCGACCUGAGAGGGUGAUCGGCCACACUGGGACUGAGACACGGCCCAGACUCCUACGGGAGGCAGCAGUAGGGAAUCUUCGGCAAUGGGGGGAACCCUGACCGAGCAACGCCGCGUGAGUGAAGAAGGUCUUCGGAUCGUAAAGCUCUGUUGUAAGAGAAGAACGGGUGUGAGAGUGGAAAGUUCACACUGUGACGGUAUCUUACCAGAAAGGGACGGCUAACUACGUGCCAGCAGCCGCGGUAAUACGUAGGUCCCGAGCGUUGUCCGGAUUUAUUGGGCGUAAAGCGAGCGCAGGCGGUUAGAUAAGUCUGAAGUUAAAGGCUGUGGCUUAACCAUAGUAUGCUUGGAAACUGUUUAACUUGAGUGCAGAAGGGGAGAGUGGAAUUCCAUGUGUAGCGGUGAAAUGCGUAGAUAUAUGGAGGAACACCGGUGGCGAAAGCGGCUCUCUGGUCUGUAACUGACGCUGAGGCUCGAAAGCGUGGGGAGCAAACAGGAUUAGAUACCCUGGUAGUCCACGCCGUAAACGAUGAGUGCUAGGUGUUAGGCCCUUUCCGGGGCUUAGUGCCGCAGCUAACGCAUUAAGCACUCCGCCUGGGGAGUACGACCGCAAGGUUGAAACUCAAAGGAAUUGACGGGGGCCCGCACAAGCGGUGGAGCAUGUGGUUUAAUUCGAAGCAACGCGAAGAACCUUACCAGGUCUUGACAUCCCUCUGACCGCUCUAGAGAUAGAGUUUUCCUUCGGGACAGAGGUGACAGGUGGUGCAUGGUUGUCGUCAGCUCGUGUCGUGAGAUGCUGGGUUAAGUCCCGCAACGAGCGCAACCCCUAUUGUUAGUUGCCAUCAUUGAGUUGGGCACUCUAGCGAGACUGCCGGUAAUAAACCGGAGGAAGGUGGGGAUGACGUCAAAUCAUCAUGCCCCUUAUGACCUGGGCUACACACGUGCUACAAUGGCUGGUACAACGAGUCGCAAGCCGGUGACGGCAAGCUAAUCUCUGAAAGCCAGUCUCAGUUCGGAUUGUAGGCUGCAACUCGCCUACAUGAAGUCGGAAUCGCUAGUAAUCGCGGAUCAGCACGCCGCGGUGAAUACGUUCCCGGGCCU
rnacentral:rRNA from 1 species